rnacentral:rRNA from 1 species
UACGAAGGGUGCAAACGUUGCUCGGAAUCAUUGGGCGUAAAGCGCACGUAGGCGGCUUCGCAAGUCGGAUGUGAAUCCCUCGGCUCAACCGAGGACGUGCAUCCGAACUGCGGAGCUUGAGUACUGAAGAGGAUCGCGGAAUUCCGGUGUAGAGGUGAAAUUCGUAGAUAUCGGAGGAACACCAGUGGCGAAGGCGGCGAUCUGGCAGAUACUGACGCUGAGUGCGAAAGCGUGGGAGCAAACAGGG